UGGGGAAUAUUGCACAAUGGGCGAAAGCCUGAUGCAGCAACGCCGCGUGAGUGAUGAAGGUCUUCGGAUUGUAAAGCUCUGUCUUUUGGGACGAUAAUGACGGUACCAAAGGAGGAAGCCACGGCUAACUACGUGCCAGCAGCCGCGGUAAUACGUAGGUGGCGAGCGUUGUCCGGAUUUACUGGGCGUAAAGGGUGCGUAGGCGGAUGUUUAAGUGAGAUGUGAAAUACCCGGGCUUAACUUGGGUGCUGCAUUUCAAACUGGAUAUCUAGAGUGCAGGAGAGGAGAAUGGAAUUCCUAGUGUAGCGGUGAAAUGCGUAGAGAUUAGGAAGAACACCAGUGGCGAAGGCGAUUCUCUGGACUGUAACUGACGCUGAGGCACGAAAGCGUGGGUAGCAAACAGGAUUAGAUACCCUGGU
rnacentral:rRNA from 1 species